UACGUAGGGUGCGAGCGUUGUCCGGAAUUAUUGGGCGUAAAGGGCUCGUAGGCGGUUUGUCGCGUCGGGAGUGAAAUCAUCUGGCUUAACUGGGUGCUUGCUUUCGAUACGGGCAGACUAGAGGUAUGCAGGGGAGAACGGAAUUCCUGGUGUAGCGGUGAAAUGCGCAGAUAUCAGGAGGAACACCGGUGGCGAAGGCGGUUCUCUGGGCAUGACCUGACGCUGAGGAGCGAAAGUGGUGGGGAGCGAACAGG
rnacentral:rRNA from 1 species